GUGUGCUCUACUUGCAAUAAAGCUAAUUAUUUUCUGCAGUAUGUGUUGGUAUUAUUAUGUACUUUUAUGAAUUUUCAGUAGAGUUGUCAAAAUAUGCCUGUCCAUUUUAGGAUCAAUCCAAGUAGGCCUAGUACAUGUAGUAGCCUGGCAACACUUAUGUUUUAUUUUGUACAAUUCUAAAUAUGAUAGUUUAAUCUUUCAAAAAAUUAAUUCAAUGAAGCAGAAGGUUUGGACUAUUAAGUUUUGUGCUAGUGACAGAUAAAUUUGAGAACUAGCUCAAUUGAGUUUUAGUUUUCAAACAAAAGAACCUAAUAUUCUUUAGGCGUAGCUUGUUGUGUUAAAAAACAGUUAACGUUUGAGUCAACGGCCAUGCUCAAAGCAGGUCCAGGUUCUAGGUUAUGAACUUCUGCAUGAUUUUUGCUAGCCCAGUCCAAACUUUUUGUUCAACUAUUUAUCAGCCCUUCACGCUCAGUCCAUUUUGAUAGCUCCAAUUUUCAAGUAUAGUUUGUGAUUUGCUAUGUAAUAUGUGUACAGCUUUAGAUUCAAUAUUCUCUAAUGCACUUCUAAACCAACUUAUUUUAUAGUUUAUUGCAGUCUUUUGUGAUUUCUUACAGACACAAAUCCUUAAUGAACAUAUACUUUUCUUGGUUUUCAUGAAUGUUUCAUUUAACUUCUUCAUGAGCUUCCUAAAUAAAAAUUAAAUUAAAAAUAAAGAAAAAACAACACAUUAUUUGACUGGACCAUGUAAGAACAAGUUCAUGCAAUUCUCAGCCAUCAACAGUAACCUAAAGUAAACCCUUAACUUUGUACAGAUGAAUCAACUCGUUUAUUGUGCAAUUUCUAUUGGUGUUGUCAAUGCAACUACUCUGUAUUACAAUGACAGGUCUUGCUCAUUGGUUUGCUUAUUUAUGCUAUUAUGUAAUAUGUACAGAUCUACUUCUUUUCAAGGUAGAUUACUGAAACACAAUCUUGAUGCUGAAGUUGUGGAUGCUCUGAAGAACCUGAGGCAAAAACUAUCUAAAAAUGAGUUGAAGUAGAAUGAAUACCAGUCGCAAUUCUAGUCACAAUUUAUUUUGACAGGUGAACUCUCUGCAACAUAAAUUUUAUUAAUUUACCUGGUCUUAAAUCCGACAUAUAUUUCAUCUUUAGGCACGUGAGCAUGCGUUUAUUAUUUAUAACAGUGAUACUCUUUAGUCUUUUACCUUUUGGUUGGUUCAUAUUUUGAGGUAAUGACGAAGAAUAAACCAUACUAAUAACAGUGGCUGUGUCAACCAGAACCGGGACAAUGUAUUCAUUAAUACCACCCAAUCUAAACUGUAGUGUAUACGGUAUAAAACUCACACUGUUACUGGAUACAUUUUUUUUUGUCUUUUCAUCAUUUGUAUCAUAAGAUGUUUUUGUUGACUGAAAGUAAUUAAUAUUUUGAUUCACCCUUUAAUGUUGAUAUUUGAUAUGUAUUUGUAUGAAAUAGAAGUUGGUAGUUACUUCCCUGAACCCUGCCUGGAGGGUAUUCUUCAGCCUGGUAAUGAAAUGAAGAUGAGGAAACAAGUAAAACAAAGCCAAACAAUGAUCCAAUUCAUUAAACAAAAUCCGAUCAACAAUGAGGAAACAAGUAAAAUUAUGUCUCACAUAAUUUAUGCACAUUAUAAAGUUUUAUUUCUGGCAUGAAAAAACUGGAACAGGUGCUUUUGGAAUUUGGAUGUGGUGAUAUGGAUUUGGAUGAACUACAAUGACUGCUAUCGCUUGCAUGUAGUGAAAGAGAGAGAGAAAAGGUUUAUUGCCAAUUUUAGUUUUUGCAACUUAUUAUUAUUAUAAGGAAAUGUAAACCAGUGCUCGAACAUGGCCUUCUCCAUUUGCAACACAAUGAUAAUUAAAUUACUAAUCAGAUUUGAGGCAAGACUAUGUUUAUUGUGCAAUUUCUAUUGGUGUUGUCAAUGCAACUACUCUGUAUUACAAUGACAGGUCUUGCUCAUUGGUUUGCUUAUUUAUGCUAUUAUGUAAUAUGUACAGAUCUACUUCUUUUCAAGGUAGAUUACUGAAACACAAUCUUGAUGCUGAAGUUGUGGAUGCUCUGAAGAACCUGAGGCAAAAACUAUCUAAAAAUGAGUUGAAGUAGAAUGAAUACCAGUCGCAAUUCUAGUCACAAUUUAUUUUGACAGGUGAACUCUCUGCAACAUAAAUUUUAUUAAUUUACCUGGUCUUAAAUCCGACAUAUAUUUCAUCUUUAGGCACGUGAGCAUGCGUUUAUUAUUUAUAACAGUGAUACUCUUUAGUCUUUUACCUUUUGGUUGGUUCAUAUUUUGAGGUAAUGACGAAGAAUAAACCAUACUAAUAACAGUGGCUGUGUCAACCAGAACCGGGACAAUGUAUUCAUUAAUACCACCCAAUCUAAACUGUAGUGUAUACGGUAUAAAACUCACACUGUUACUGGAUACAUUUUUUUUUGUCUUUUCAUCAUUUGUAUCAUAAGAUGUUUUUGUUGACUGAAAGUAAUUAAUAUUUUGAUUCACCCUUUAAUGUUGAUAUUUGAUAUGUAUUUGUAUGAAAUAGAAGUUGGUAGUUACUUCCCUGAACCCUGCCUGGAGGGUAUUCUUCAGCCUGGUAAUGAAAUGAAGAUGAGGAAACAAGUAAAACAAAGCCAAACAAUGAUCCAAUUCAUUAAACAAAAUCCGAUCAACAAUGAGGAAACAAGUAAAAUUAUGUCUCACAUAAUUUAUGCACAUUAUAAAGUUUUAUUUCUGGCAUGAAAAAACUGGAACAGGUGC
rnacentral:lncRNA from 1 species